CAGAGCUGGGAUGCAAUAGCAACCUGACAGGGCUCGGGCCCUCUUCCAGGAACUUCAGCUGCAACCAGAGAUGUCGAACAGGCCUUGGGUUAGUACUGCUUGAUGAUGCAGUGACUAUCCUGUUUCACCUGACUUUCCCCUAAGACACUUCUGAUUAUUUGCCUGGAAUUAUGACUGUACAUUCAAGGUGGCCAUGUGUCUUGAAUCAUGAGAUGUGGCCCAUUACCCUCUGUACAAACCCACAAGAUUAUUUCACAAGAUAUCAGCCCACCAUUGAGUCCCUGGAAAACUGGUUCAUUGAAAGAGAGAUGUGUGGUUAAUUGCCUGUGGCACUCCAAAUACAGCUUCAGACUCAGUGUUCAGCCAACUCGCGAGAUUCCACUGCAAAUAUCUGCUGAUUGGCUCUGUAGUCAGGCAGUAAAUUGGAAAGCCAAAGAGUAGAGCCAGAUGGGUGGAAAAUAAUUGUCCACUCCUCAGUGAAUCUAGACAUGAGAAGACCUCCCAAGAGCAUCAUCAGGAAAAUGGCUGAAUCCUUGCAUUCCUCAACAGCCCUUUCAUGCACUGACCUUCAAUUGUGAGAUGACCUUUGAUGAUGAUCAUCCUCUUCACUGCCAUCGUCUGCAUCCACAGAAGCAGAAAGUCUUCAUUAAGUUUCCACUGUCUGCAGUGCUGUUCUGACCACCAACCAAGUACCUUGUUCAGGGGCCCCAGCCUUUUUGUGUUUACCUCCUAAGUUAAAAUCAUUGGCUACAGCUGAAGCUGCUUUUUCACAGACAUCAGCCUCCAUCUGGCUGGUGUAUUUUGUUGCAGUUGUUGUUUUAACCUUUUCAAUAUCAUGAUUCAUGCUUGUAUGAGACACAGGCUACUUUGGAUUCUCUGACCAGAAAGAAAAAUAAGAUAAGUAUUUGAAUAGUAUUUUCAUGAAUAUAAAUCACUUUAUUCUUUACAACAACUCUUUAAAGGGACAGGCAUAUUUUUUUCAAUUUAUACAUGAUGAAACUGAAUCCCAGAUAAGGCAUAUGACUUACAGAUUUAUAAUCUUAGCUAAGUGGUAGGGUCCAUGUUUGAUAACUUAAAAAUAUCUCAGAGAGCCUGAACAUUUCUAGAAGCAGUCUCUAGUGGCUGGAAAAGAAAAAGAGAGUGCAGGGCAUGGUGUUCUUUGUUCCUCCAUGAGCUUUCAACUUAAAAGAUAUUGUUGACACUUGUGUGUGUGUGUGUGUGUGUGUGUAAGAGAAUGAGACAGAGAUGGAGAAUAAGAAUGAGUCCACCGUGUAUGCUGAUUCAAAAAGGAGACUGAACUCAGGGGAAAUGAAAAAGCCACAUACCCAGGACCAAAGAAAAGGCUGGUCACAGGACCCCUGCUUACAAAGCCCACGGGACCCUGACUGAAUGGGAACAUCAAGUACCCUGAGGAGCCCCGAGAAUCAGAGCAGAAUCUAGACUUGGAAGGGAAAGACUAUUGGACUAGAAAGAAAGGAAACAACCACACAGCCAUUUCAAACUCCUGAAUAGGCCCUGAUUGUGGAAGGAGAGAGAGAACAAGGAGUGCCUGGAAACAGCUGCACAGCGCACCUGGCCUCUGGGAGACUGUGUGAGGCCAUCUUACUUCAGCUCUGCAGAGCUGGGCCCCAAUGCCUUAGGCCUGAGUGGAGAUCUCUGCAGCUCUUCCCACUGCCUCUGCCUGACCCCCACCCCCCUCCACAGACCCUCUCACCUGGCUAAGCUCUAGUCCUCAUCCAGCCUUAACCUAAAGUCUACUACCUCAGAGAAACCUUCCCAUUUUUUGCUCCCUGUACCUCCCUUUUUAUGACACUCACCAUAUUUGUAAUUUCUUCUCUGGCUUCCCCCCUAGAGUCUCAGAUCCAUUUGAGCAGGUCCUGUCUCUGAAGUCCAGGGCUCUGCCUCCAGCUCCUAGGAAAGUACCCGGCACAAAGAAGAGGCUCCAUAACUAUUUUUUAAUUGCAUUGAAAUGAAGAUUUGGGAUUUGCUUGAAUGGAGUCAGCAAAUGCCAUCAUCAGAGGAUGCUAUUUCAGAAGAGAAAAAUAGAAAGGAGGUGUGCUCCUAAGGGCUCCUGCCUUGGAGAGUAACUCACAAGGCCAGCCCAGAUUCAAGAUGAAAGGAAAUGGAUUCCAUCUCUUGAUCGAUGGAGCAGCACACACAUACAGAGAGAGAAGAAAGUGAUGGCCGCCAUAUUUGGAGAUUCCACCACACAUACUGUACUCUACAUUGUCACGCAGUUCUAAGAAAUUUCAACAGUUCACCACCAGGAAUCCUGAUUGAGCAGCUUCCCUCCAUGGAGCAACUUUAUGACUUAUUUUGCAUCUUUUUGAUAUUGAAAAGGUUGGAUGGCUUUCUGUUGGGGCAUACCACCUGGCAUCCCUAGACUUCAUUCAGAUGUACAGUUGAAUCAAAGACAAAGACAGUGAAUGGAGAAUCUAAAAUGAGGACUCAGAGUUCUCCAUUGUCCUAUUAUUGCACAAAGGAUGUCUAAAGAAAUGCCUAACGUCAAGGAGCAGGGAGUUAACAGCUGGGCACUCCCUUUCUUUAUAGCUCUUCUCCAGCUCUCCCCUUGCUGCCACAUGCAGGCCACCAUCUUCUAGCCAUGGAUUGAUUGCUAAGGGAGUCAGGUGGUGGGGUAGGUAUUUCUAAAUUAAAAGCCUAGGGAGAUUAUUCUAGCUCUCUGGAAAUAAAGGCACAAAAAUUAUUUUACUACUUCCAUUUCAUUUUAACAAACUGUGCUCAUUCACCUCCUGCUCUGUAAGGUGAUAAGAUAGAUAUUAUAAAUAGACAACUAAAUGUGAUCAAUCUACAGUAAAAGUCUAGGUAAACCGCUUGAGAAACUAAGAGGCAAAUGAGAUUGAUGAGACCCUCAGAAAGAUGUUGCCACAAAUAAGCCCUUUCAUGGGUUUAUGAAGGAAAUCUAUGGAUUAAAAAAGCCUCUGGGAUAAGCUCCUCAAUGUCUCACCAUUCUGCUGCUGAACAGCAAAAGGUUUGUUCCUCCUUCAGAUGCAACAGUAGCAGAGCUUAACUCAGAUAAUACAAAGAAUCUAAUAUUAUCUCAGACACAUCAUUAAUAUCAAAGUGUUUCCUGAGGAAAAGCACAAAUCAGAGUCAGCAUCCACUGGCUUUUGGGCUUUCCCAAAUGUCAAACACUUCAGGGACAAUUUCCUUCUUUUUUCUCCUGUUUUACAUCCCUGAAAUGGACCAAGGGCACUUUUUUUUUCACCUGUGAUUCAGUACUGAUUCAUUUUUUUCUCUAUUUCAUGCUAUUACCUUUGCUAUUCUCUUUGGCUGAAGUUGUCUACCUUAUCCUAUAAUUUUCUGAAGUUUAGACUUUCCCUACCAGAUGACUUAUUCAAUAGAAAAUGGCAAUUAUACGCGGUUCAUUUUAUUAAUUGUAAUCAAAGUAUGGGAUCAAGUUUGAAAUAUUGGCUGUAUGAAUGAAACUUCAGGGUCUCUGAAAAUGUGACUCACUGUAGCUGACAAUUGUUUAGCCAGGGUGCAGGGUCCAUAACCUUCCCUCCUUCAUUCCUUUAACCUUCUGCAUAUAAACAGAUGCCAUUAGAAUGUUGUGUUGGUUGAUGGCAUAACUACUCACCACACUGGGACACUUUUGAGAGAGAAAGAAAGCACUAAAAUAAUUAAUAAGCAUUAAUUGAGCUCCAGCAGGUGUAAACUGGUACUGUCCUGGACAAAUCAAGGUGUAAAGCUAUUUAAUUAUUGCAUAUCCUGAAGCAUUCUUGUAAUGGCCGUCAUCUGGCCCAGUGAGCCAAGGCUGUGUCUGACCUGCUGAACCAGGUCAAACAAACUGUAGGACUGUACAGAGUAUAUUUUCAUUUUUAUGCACAGAUAAGGCUUUCCAAGCAAAGGAAACUAAAACCCGGUUUAGAGGACAAACCUUAGAAGUUAAAGGGUGUUAGAUCUGAAGCCAUCUGUUCCCAUUAACAGGACAAAUAAAAUUUAUAUCUUCAGGAGCCAAAUAUUUACAUUCCAGGGUAGGAACUUUCCCCUUUCUCUUCCUGUAAGAAUUUAUUUACAUUCAAAAGACUAUAAAUGACUAGGGAGCACAGAUUUUUCUCUUUCUCUAAGAAAGAGGGAGGGAAAAACAGCCAUCAUGCUCCUACAGAAACGGACAGAUUCAUAAUUUGGGGGUUCCUCUUCUGUGGUGCAAAAAGCCUCUUUUGUACAUGCAUGGGGAUUUUGAUGGGGAUUAUAUUGAAUCUGUAAGUCAAUUUGGGAAGUAUUGUCAUCUUAACUAUAUUAAGUAUCGCAAUCCAUGAACAUGAGAUGUCUUUCUAAUUAUUUAGGUCUUUAAUUUAUUUCAGCAAUGUUUUCUAGUUUUCAGUGUACGUAAGUCUUGCUCUUCCUUGGUUAAAUUUAUUUCUAAGUAUUUUAUUAUUUUUGAUAUUAUUGCAACUGGAGUUGUUUUCAUAAUUUCCUUCUUGAGUUGUACAUUAUUGGCUGUACAAAAAUACACCCAUUUUUGUACAUCAAUUUUAAAUCCUGAAAACUUGCUGAAUGAACUCAGUUAUUGGCUCAGGUUUUUGGUGAAUUCUUUAGAGCUUUUUUUAAAUCUGUAAGACCAUGUCAUCUUCAAAUAAAGAUUGGUUUUAUUUCUCUUAAAUUGAUUUUAUUCCUUCUCUUCCAACCUGAAUGCAUCUUGUUUCUUUUCUUACCUAAUCAGACUGGCUAGAAUCUUUAGUAUAAUGCUGAACAGAAGUGGUGAGAGCAAAUUGUGUUGGCUAGAACCUCUAGCAUGAUGCUAAACAGAAGUGGUAAGAGCAAACAUCCUCCUCUUCUUCCUGAUCAUAGGGGAAAGCUUUAAGUCUUUCACUUUUAAGUGUAUUAGCUGUGGGUUUUUCAUAGGUGCCCUUCAUCAAAUUGAGCAAAUUCUCUUCUUUCCCAGUUUGCUGAGUAAUUUUUUUAAAAU
rnacentral:lncRNA from 10 species